UCCCCUUAGUCUCUCCGGUAAGAUCUGGCCACAAUAAGAUGACGGUGGUUUAGUUGGAGCUCCGUGGUGAUGGCUCCAUGGUGGAUGUUGAUGGUCUGCAGUGGCGAUUUCGUCAGAGUAAAGAGUAUGUUUUGAGUUGUCUGAUGAGUUGGUAGCUUUUUUCCGGUCUUCCAGGUUCUGAUGCGAAUGUAACCUGAUUGGCGAAGAUUUAUAGUAAGUUGAUGCAGAUCGAGUAAACCCUAACCAGAUUCGCGAUGAUUUGCGAAUCAAUGCAAGAUUUGCUGGUGAACUCAGGUGAU
rnacentral:lncRNA from 1 species